GAAAGCUCCUGCAAGAUGUGACCAUCCCCCCCACCAGUUGAAGAGCCCCCCAGGCGGCUCGAUGCACCGGCGGCACCCUGCUCCAGGGCCGGGCCCCCAUGCACCCACCCGCCCACAACCCCGGCAACACACCAACCAGGACCCGAGCCCCCGAGGCCCGGCCCGGGCCCCAGCCCAGAGACGGAGCGCCCCCAGAACCUCACGCCCAUCCCGGACCCACCCAGGGGCAGCCAGGUUGCCAGGUCAGUAACCCGCGUCCGUCAGCACAGACCCUCCCCUAGCCCCGCUGCACGCAGCCGCGAGGAAACAGUCACCUGAGAGCCAACAGAGCCCUCAACCGGACGUGACCGCUACCCCGGGUUGAGCCCCCCAAGGAAGAUGCCUCCGGGGAACCCCCCGACGCCCUAAGCCUGUCCCUACCCCCUCACCAAUCACAACAAUGAAGGCGGGACCAAACUAUGACCCCCCACCCCCACUAGGUGAUGGAGCUGAUAAAAGGGGCCCAGAGUAAUUGAUCUGAUGUGGUGGCAGAGGCUGUGUCAAGACUAAUGUAAUCUAAUAGAUAAUUUCUAUAUUGGUUAGAAUUAAGAUUAUUUUUAUUUUUCCAGUUCAUGAGGACUGUUUUCUUGGCUAUGCAUAGGGCAGUGAAGAUCAUAUGGGCUAUAUUCUUUUCUGAAGUGACAUUAUCUAAGCUGCCCAACAAACACACUAAGGGGGAGGUUGGAAUGUUACAUUUCAGACAUUUUGAUAAGUCUUCACAUAUCUCGCGCCAAAACUUUUGCACUGGUGGACAGAACCAAAGAGCGUGGAUGUAAUUGUCUGGUGUAUUGCCUUGACAGUGUGAGCAGUUGUUGGAAGAUGUAAAGCCCAUCUUGAACAUCCGAUGACCUGUAUAGUGCACUCUAUGAAGUAUUUUGUAUUGUAUUAAUUGCAGACUGGGAUUUUUAAUUAAUUUAAAAGUUUUUAAGCAAAUCUGAGACCAGAAGUUUUGGUCUAGGUUGACUGAUAAAUCUGCUUCCCACUUUGCAGUAGGAAGGGAUAUUGAUUCAUCUAAUUUAGAAAGUGUUCUGUAUAUUUUAGAUAAUAAUUUGGGGGAUUUAAGAGUAAGAAAAUGUGCCGCACUUAGUGGUGUUUGUAAUUCAACCUGACUGAGGUUAAAUUUCUUUUUUACUAUGGAUUUAAUUUGUUGAUAUUCUAAAAACCUUGUCUUGUUGAUCCCAUAUUGUUCAACUAGUCUGUCAAAUGGAAUAAAUUCUGUUCCCUCUAAUAUAUGUUCUAAGUAUUUAAUUCCUUUACAACUCCAUUCUGGGAAAUUAAUCAUAUUAUUGUUUUGUAAUAUGUCAGGGUUAUUCCAGUAAUAAGUAUAUGCUAUGACAGUGGCAACCUGCGACUUCCGAAAAUGUGUUGUAGUGUUUGUUUUAGUGUUAGCCAAGCAGUACUGAGUACAUGUAUUACGGGGAAAGCUUUUAGUUGGUGAAACAACGUUUGCAGUCGUCUGCCGCCAUGUUGUGUUGCGUUCAGGGGACGCCAUGUUCAAAAGUAAUAGCGUAUAUGGCGCGAAUGUGGGGAAAGGUUGUGUGAAUGUGAGAUGGGUUAUUUUGGUAUGUUGUUCUGCUUUAGCCACGAGUGUUUUGUUUAAGUUGUGAGUAUGUAAAGUCAUUUUGAAUUAGUUUGUAUUUAUUUUGCUUUUGAGAGAAUGCUUUUUGUAGCUUUAUUUUUGUUUAUGAACUCUGUUAUUUUAUGGGAAGAAUGCAUGGUCUAGUGUGAUUUGUGUUGUGUAUAUGUUGCAGAAAUAAAUGAGCUCCGGCCUGAGCAAGACGCUAACUUCGGUGUCCUCUCUAGUUGCUCAUAUUUGGCUACACAGUGCUCUCUAGCCUGUGUGCCGCUUGCUGCCGGUCCAGAUUCCCCUAGGUCUGGUGCCGGUAACAGCUGCAAUAGGUGACACGGGGGAAUUUGAAGUAUGUUGUGGUAAGGCAGAGGUCUAACAGUGUGCAGAUCUGAUUGGGUGUGAAGUUGGUCCUGUCUUCCAAGGAGCUGUCUUCUUGUAGUCGUUUUCUGACAGUCUCCACAGCCUCCGUGGUGGAUAUGCAAGUGAAGAGAGAGACUACAUCAAAGGACACCAUGGUUUCAUCUGGAUCCAGGGACCACCGUUGUCGACAUAGUGGACAGAAUUCCCAACAUUCUGGCAUCCCACCCACAGGCCAACUGGCUCAUCAUCCACAUCGGCACCAAUGACAUCCCCAAACAGCAAUAUGAGCUGCUGAGGCUUCAGCCUCCUUUGUCAGUAGCAGGAAGUGAUGCAGAUGCAGUCUACAGCAGUGAGAACAUAUGAAGAUGUCAGUGAUGGACAAAUAGCCAACAGACCAAAUGGCACGAGAGGUAUAGCCAGUGCUCGUUUCCAGUAAAAGUGGACCUAUUCUGCUUUUCUUCUUCCCUGUCAAAUGCUUUUCACUGUUAGAUGUUCAUAUUAAGGUGGCUAAGGUGCCAAUUAAAGAUGUCAAUGUAUGCACCAGUAAUUCCUAAGCGAUUAAAACAUCUGCAAAACAGGUCAGAGGAUGAGGCACAUAAUGUACCAGUACAGUUUAAAGAUAAAAGUGUAGAGCUGAAAAGGAUCAGGACAGGUUCGCUUCAAACAAUUUGACAUGACCAAUUGUUUGUUUUUUACAAAGGAAAAAAAAUCCUCUUCUUUGAAUGCAGAAUUUAUUUUGACACCAGCCAGCUUCCCAUCUUAAUGUUUGAAUUUGUGCUGAAUUUAGGAAAACCAACCAAAUAAAAACCAAACAAUUUUGCAUCAAUAUAGAUAACUCACAUAAUAGUAUGUACUCAUACUAGCAUACCUGAAACCUCAUAGCUCACUACAGUCUACUAGACAUCAAUUUAUUUUCAAAGCAACAUGGAAAAAAGGGCAGCAAAUCAAUCUGUAUAAAAAGUUGUUUCUGCAAAAGAGGGAAGCUGUACAGUUUUCACAGUUUCUCAUUUUGAAUGUAUUACAGCUCUACAGUCUUAUCCGAUAAAAAGUAAAGUUUCUACCAGUCAAUAGAGCACAGGUGCUACCCUUGAAUUGUAAUUUUUAAACCAUGAAAGUGGCCCUUAUGGGAAGCAUUUUUAAUGCUUCUUUCCUGUUUAUGUCAGGGGGGCAGAUACGAGGCCUGUGUUUCCUUUUGUUUUCAUUUGAUGUAAGUUAGAUCAUUAUAUGUGAGAAUGUUUUGUUUGCUAUUUCGGCCAUGCUCACCCUGACGUUUUGUUAUGGACUGCAGAUUCUUCGGAACAUGGGAAUCAUGUUAAGCUCAGGUUUCUCUAAAGCUGGGAAAUAUCCAGCAAAUAUGUCCCUUUGUGGUCCAUGCUAUGGCUGUGUGGGCCAAUAUGGGUGUCACACUAGUGUAGACUACCUACACUAAGCAAGGAGGGGGCCAACAAUAAGGGUCAAUGUGGGCCUGCGAUGUACCCACAGUAUGCCCACACUCUGGGUUUGGGCUGUCCAUACGGGCCCCACCUGGACUCCACAGUGUGCGUCCUAGGUGUUAGGCAGAGUAGAGCUGGUUUUCCUCAUCAAAAGGAGUCAUUUGAGGUAGUUCGGCCAUCUGAAUAGGAUGCAUCCCGGGUGAGGUGUUUCAAGCAUGUUCUACUGGGAGGAGGCUUCGGUGCAGACCCAGUGAUCAAGUGAUCAAGGAAAUCUACACUUUUCUGCUUAGACCGCUCUCCCUAGAGGACCUGAACCCAGAUAAGUGGCAGAAAAUAAUGGAUUGGAGUUUUUGAUUAAACUCCAAAGGUUGUUAUCAUGUGUCCCGUUCUUUGAACUGUGUGUUUGUGUUCAGGCUUUAAACGACUGACAGAUAUCCUCUACUCUAAGGUGCAGUAGUCCACCAGUCCAACUGCCGCAAUCCAGCUGCUUGUCUCUAACUGACUCCCCCAACACCUCAGACCAGAGGACAUCAUAAUGUUCAAAAGUAUAUUUUAUUUAUAUCCCUGUGUUAAUUACAAUAAACGCAACCAAAAAAAAAAAACCUACAUAUUACUUAAAGGCACAACCACACACUUAUUUAAAAGACAAAUACAAACUUACAGUUGUUUGUCCUCAGUGAUCAAUGUUACUUGUAUGUCGUUCAUAUUUGUCUGAUCCUGCUCUUAUUCCCACAGUAGAGAUUGUGCUUAGUAAAAAACAAAAAACAAAAAAAAAUCAAUAUUUUUUCUUGUGUGGUUCUGUGGGUUUCAACAAAGUUUCAGAUGAAAAAUGUAAGUUGUUCUGUUUUGAUUGUGGCUAACCGAUACACUUCUCUCUUCAGUGCAGGAAAUAAAGAAUUAACUUCUUAAACCGCAACCUCAGACUAAGAACAGCAUGAAAACCCUUGAGUGGCUGCAAACUGCGCAGAAAGCCUUAGUAUAUGACUUAUGUGUUUAAAGCUGUGUGUAAAGCCCAAGCUGGAAAUGAGUCCCAUUUAAAGUUUGCUGCCUUCUAUUUCUUAAAACUGGGUCUUACAGCAUAGCAGCUACUUUAUAAAUGGCAACAGUUUAAUCUUUUUAACAUCACUACUAUUGUCACUAUAAAAUGUGAUACUUACCUGGUUCUUCAUAAAUAAUGCAAAUUACCCAUCCAUGUUCUUCCACUUAUCCAAUCACAGUUGAGCUUGACUCCAUCCUCAACCCGAAAAGGCCCCACAAGCUCAUCUUUGAUGAUACCAGCCCAAACCAGUACUCCACCUCCACCUUGCUGGCGUCUGAGUGGGACUGGAGCUCUCUGCCCUUUACCAAUCCAGCCACGGGCCCAUCCAUCUGGCCCAUCAAGACUCACUCUCAUUUCAUCAGUCCAUAAAACCUUAGAAAAACCAGUCUUGAGGUAUUUCUUAGCCCAGUCUUGACGUUUCAGCUUGUGUGUCUUGUUCAGUGGUGGUCGUCUUUCAGCCUUUCUUACCUUGGCCAUGUCUCUGAGUAUUGCACAAUGUUAGAUUAUAAUAUUAUUUUAUGCCAUGUUAGACCCCUAAUUAAAGAUUGUGAAUUAUUAUGUAGUUUUAGUUUGCAUUAUUCUCCUGAAUUAGAAGAAGCUGAUAACUAUUGCAUUAGUUAAACUGAUUUGCAUUACAUUAAAUUGCUGAUUUAUUGUGAAUGAAUGAUAUUGUUUUAUGAUGCAUUAUACUGCUGAGUUAUAAGAAGUACUGUUCGCAGAAAGUCAUCGCCUUAUUUGUCUGAUUAGAAGAGAACAGACUAUACUGGAGUUUUCUGCCCCAUCUCAGCAGGAGCAGAUAAACAGGGAGCCAAGGUCGUAGCUUAGGCGCCGUGUGAGAGAAAAGCAUGUGAAUGUUUAGGCUUUUAUGAUAAGGUGGGGGCACCAGAGGCUAUAAAAGUUUGAUCAAUGCUCCACCAUUUUGAGAUCUGAGGCUGUCUGCAUACAGUGUCCAUCUCCCACGCGUGUGAUCAUUAAAAUCAUCGUUUG
ensembl:lncRNA